GGCCGGUUACGUAGAAGUCUGGAUGUUAAAUAAUUCUAGUAUAUUGUUAAUUGUCAAACUAUGCAAUUAACCCCUGAAGGAUACAUGUUAUUUCACAGUAGACAUGGUCAUUUAUGGUCUGCAGGGUAUAUGUCUAUAAUAUUUGAACAGAUCGUUAUUAAGUGUCCAAAGCGUACAUGAUUGUCAUUGAAUUGUUUAAUUCCUUUUUAAUAAAUUUCCUAAUUAAUACUCCUUGAUAAUUAAUGAUAUGAAACACAAUUGUGUUACA
rnacentral:lncRNA from 1 species